UACGUAGGGGGCUAGCGUUGUCCGGAUUUAUUGGGCGUAAAGAGCGUGUAGGCGGCUUUACAGGUCCGUUGUGAAAACUCGAGGCUCAACCUCGAGACGCCGGUGGAAACCGUAAAGCUAGAGUCCGGAAGAGGAGAGUGGAAUUCCUGGUGUAGCGGUGAAAUGCGCAGAUAUCAGGAGGAACACCGAUGGCGAAGGCAGGUCUCUGGGCCACUACUGACGCUGAGAAGCGAAAGCAUGGGGAGCGAACAGG
rnacentral:rRNA from 1 species